rnacentral:lncRNA from 1 species
GACGAGGACACCGCAGUUUUUUGUUUGGAGUUGCUUAUUGCAAUUACCCUGAAUAAUAGAGACCGAAUUGGACUCCUCUGGCAGGGUGUCUAUGAGCACAUAGCUAACAUUGUUCAGUCAACUGUAAUGCCAUCCGCCCUGGUUGAGAAGGCUGUCUUUGGGCUCCUCCGUAUUUGUCAGAGGCUGCUCCCAUAUAAAGAGAACUUGGCUGAUGAACUUUUGAGAUCACUCCAACUGGUUCUCAAACUUGAUGCGAGGGUUGCAGAUGCAUACUGUGAGCAAAUAACCCAGGAAGUUAGUCGUCUGGUGAAGGCAAAUGCUACUCACAUCAGAUCACAACUGGGAUGGCGAACUAUUGCAUCGUUACUUUCUAUUACAGCUAGACACCCUGAAGCUUCUGAAUCAGGGUUUGAUGCCCUGUUGUUUAUUAUGUCAGAUGGAGCCCACUUAACUCCAGCGAAUUAUGUUCUUUGUAUAGAUGCAGCAAGGCAGUUUGCCGAGUCUCGAGUUGGACAGGCUGAUAGAUCUGUUCGCGCGAUAGACCUUAUGGCAGGUUCUGUUGCUUGUUUAACACGGUGGGAUGAAGAUGCCAAGGGAGCUAUGGCUGAGGCAGAAGCCUUGAAACUGUCACAGGAGAUAGGAGAGAUGUGGCUGAGGCUUGCCCAGGCAUUAAGAAAAGUAUGUCUGGAUCAGAGAGAGGAGGUGAGAAACCAUGCACUUUUAUCACUGCAAACGUGCUUGACAGGAGUGGAGGGGAUUCAUCUUCCGCAUGCUUUAUGGUUGCAGUGUUUUGAUAUGGUCAUAUUCACUAUGCUUGAUGACUUGACUGAAAUAGCACAGGGACAUUCCCAGAAAGACUACAGAAACAUGGAAGGAACACUCGUCCUUGCCCUGAAACUCUUGACUAAAGUGUUUUUGCUAUUGCUUCAUGAGCUGUCACAGUUGACGACCUUCUGCAAAUUGUGGUUGGGGGUGCUUAGUCGGAUGGAAAAGUAUAUGAAGGUGAAAGUCAGAGGGAAAAAAAGUGAAAAGCUUCAGGAAUUGGUACCAGAGCUACUGAAGAGUACCUUGCUUGUCAUGAAGACAAAGGGGGUGCUUGUACAGAGGAGCGCUCUUGGAGGAGACAGCUUGUGGGAGCUAACAUGGUUGCACGUGAAUAAUAUCGUUCCUUCUCUGCAAUCCGAAUUGUUCCCUGGUAAUGAAUUAGAGCAGUCCGACAGUAAACUCGGUGAAAUGGGUAAAAAUACAUUGCCAAACGAAACUGGUUCUGCUUAAGAGGAAUGGCUUCCAUGAUCCGUUACUGUGUUUGCAUUGUUUUGCUCUCAUGAUUAAGCUUGCAAGGUAUUACAAUCUAGAUUAGAGUUUAGGGUUUUCGUAAACUUACACUUGCUGU